AUUACCCAAUCCCGAUUCGGGGGGGUAGUGACAAUAAAUAACAAUACAGGGCCAACGGUCUUGUUAUUGGAAUGAGAACAAUUUAAAUAACUUAACGAGGAUCAAUUAGAGGGCAAGUCUGGUGCCAGCAGCCGCGGUAAUUCCAGCUCUAAUAGCGUAUAUUAAAGUUGUUGCAGUUAAAAAGCUCGUAGUCGGAUGUCGGGCUCGGGCAGGCUGUCGGCUUCGGUCGGACGGCAGGCUCGGGUCUUUCUGCCUGAGGAUCCCGUUGCACUUAAUUGUGGGGCGUGGGGACGCAGGCCGUUUACUUUGAAAAAAUUAGAGUGUUCAAAGCAGGCCUACGCUUGAAUACAUUAGCAUGGAAUAAUGGAAUAGGACUUUGGUGCUAUUUUGUUGGUUUAUGGGACCGAAGUAAUGAUUAACAGGGACAGUUGGGGCCGUUUAUAUUUCGUUGUCAGAGGUGAAAUUCUUGGAUUUACGAAAGAUAAACUUCUGCGAAAGCAUUCGGCAAGGAUGUUUUCAUUGAUCAAGAACGAAAGUUAGGGGAUCGAAGACGAUCAGAUACCGUCGUAGUCUUAACCAUAAACUAUGCCGACUAGGGAUCAGUGGAUGUCAAUUUGCGACUCCAUUGGCACCUUGUGAGAAAUCAAAGUUUUUGGGUUCCGGGGGGAGUAUGGUCGCAAGGCUGAAACUUAAAGGAAUUGACGGAAGGGCACCACCAGGAGUGGAGCCUGCGGCUUAAUUUGACUCAACACGGGGAAACUUACCAGGUCCAGACAUAGUAAGGAUUGACAGAUUGAAAGCUCUUUCUUGAUUCUAUGGG
rnacentral:rRNA from 1 species